CAAGUCGAACGGCAGCACGGGAGCUUGCUCCUGGUGGCGAGUGGCGAACGGGUGAGUAAUAUAUCGGAACGUAUCCAAUAAUGGGGGAUAACUAGUCGAAAGAUUAGCUAAUACCGCAUACGCCCUGAGGGGGAAAGCUGGGGAUCUUCGGACCUAGCGUUAAUGGAGCGGCCGAUAUCUGAUUAGCUAGUAGGUGAGGUAAGAGCUCACCUAGGCGACGAUCAGUAGCUGGUCUGAGAGGACGACCAGCCACACUGGAACUGAGACACGGUCCAGACUCCUACGGGAGGCAGCAGUGGGGAAUUUUGGACAAUGGGCGCAAGCCUGAUCCAGCCAUUCCGCGUGAGUGAAGAAGGCCUUCGGGUUGUAAAGCUCUUUCGCAAGGGAAGAAAACUUAACCUCUAACAUAGGUUGAGGCUGACGGUACCUUGAUAAGAAGCACCGGCUAACUACGUGCCAGCAGCCGCGGUAAUACGUAGGGUGCGAGCGUUAAUCGGAAUUACUGGGCGUAAAGCGUGCGCAGGCGGCCUGAUAAGUCAGAUGUGAAAUCCCCGAGCUCAACUUGGGAACUGCGUUUGAAACUAUCAAGCUAGAAUAUGUCAGAGGGGGGUAGAAUUCCACGUGUAGCAGUGAAAUGCGUAGAGAUGUGGAGGAAUACCAAUGGCGAAGGCAGCCCCCUGGGAUAAUAUUGACGCUCAUGCACGAAAGCGUGGGGAGCAAACAGGAUUAGAUACCCUGGUAGUCCACGCCCUAAACGAUGUCUACUAGUUGUUGGUGGAGUAAAAUCCAUGAGUAACGCAGCUAACGCGUGAAGUAGACCGCCUGGGGAGUACGGUCGCAAGAUUAAAACUCAAAGGAAUUGACGG
rnacentral:rRNA from 1 species